AGCAGCCGCGGUAAUUCCAGCUCCAAUAGCGUAUAUUAAAGUUGCUGCAGUUAAAAAGCUCGUAGUUGAAUUUCGGGACCAUCAUGUUGGUCGUGCCUCGGUACGUACUGGCAUUGUUGGUUUCUCCCUUCUGACGAACCAUGAUGUCAUUUAUUUGGUGUUGUGGGAAAUCAGGACUGUUACUUUGAAAAAAUUGAGUGUUUAAAGCAAGCUAACGCUUGAAUACAUUAGCAUGGAAUAAUGAAAUAGGACGUUCGAUCCUAUUUUGUUGGUUUCUAGGAUUGACGUAAUGAUUAAUAGGGAUAGUUGGGGGCAUUAGUAUUCAAUUGUCAGAGGUGAAAUUCUUGGAUUUAUUGAAGACUAACUACUGCGAAAGCAUUUGCCAAGGAUGUUUUCAUUAAUCAAGAACGAAAGUUAGGGGAUCGGAAGACGAUACGAGAUACCGUCGUAGUCUUAACCAUAAACUAUGCCGACUAGGGAUCGGAUGAUGUUUAAUUUUUAAUGUACUUCUAUUCGGCGUCCGUUAACGGGUAAAACC
rnacentral:rRNA from 1 species